UUUCCAGUGAUUUAUGUGCCACAUCUGCAGGUCGGGUCUCAAUGCGUAAUAUAGUGCCUCUUUGGGGGGGAUUUUCCAAUGGGCCAGACCCCCUUUUUCUUUUCCCUCAACUAAAAAGAGAGCUGCAGCCUUCUCCGAUUGAUUUCCCCCCCACUCUUCUCUUUCUUCUUUUUCCUUUCUUUCUCUUUUUUAAUUUUCUUUAUGCUUUUCUCUCUAUCUGGGGAAUGCUCCGUAGUUUUCCCACAAAAAUAAAGAACUUCUUAUAGGGGUCGGCAGACGUGACUUUGAACUUGGAUCAGCUCCUGCGUUUCCUGUGGUGCGGGUUGAAAUAGACUUGGGAGAAUGGCGCACACACAGCGGCCCAGUCUCCCCCUCCGAUAACUUGGAGCCAGGACACACAAUUUUAAAGGAGAAAAAAAAAAAAGUUUACAAAAAAAAAAAAAAAAAAGCCUUUCCCCAGGCUUUCACCGUUAUUUGCCGCACAGAGUGCGCAGAGUGGAGACUGACGGAGGGUUGCUGUGUGCGGGACAAGAGAGCCCGCGUGGAUUUUUAUGUGGUGCAACUGAGAGCUGGUCGGAGCGUCGCAGACGUGACCGCGUACGAAGUCUCCGCGACGGUAAAGGCGACAAGCGGACAUUCCGGUCACGUUUUCCUCACACCUCCUGCAUGGCAUCUAUCCAUCAUCUCAUUGGUUGGCAUGCCUCGCUCCCGCCAUCAUCACCAUGGCAAUGCAAGUGUCCUCCCAGUAGCCAUCACCAUGGCGAUGGGAGUGUCCCCCAGCAACUAUCCACAUGGGCCCAAAUGCCUUUUCUCUGCAUCCUGCAUGGGUUGAAAGAAUGUGUGAUAACUGAAGAGGAGACACGUUGGCUGCCAUCCAGCUUAUUGUACACCAGUGUGAAGCUGGCUGCCACACUGACACUAACCGCUGCACGGCAAACAGACGACUACUGCCGACACGCCACUCGAGACCUCAGAUGCAUCCCGUCACCAUGUCUGAUGAAUUAGGAAUAGAAAUCAUUGUUCUCCUUUUCCUUUGUUGCAAAAUAAGAGAUUCGCCUUCGCCUUCUCCCUCGCAUGCCGAAUUAGGGUCCUUUCUUAAUUUCUUUAUUAGCAUUUUUUCGGAUGUAUACAUGAGCAUACGCGCAUGUGCGUGCGGAUAUGUGCGCGCACAUAUGCUAAGAUAGGAAGAGGCAAUGAUUUGGUGUGGUUGGAUAACUCAGUUGCCAUCAGACUGCAGCAUCUGCCAUCAGAUGUCUUCUCACCGGGGAUCCCGAAUGGUGCUAGAGACGCGAGAAUAUCUGCUUUCACACUGCUGAACAUGACAUUUGAACGUGCAUGUACGAGCAAGAAGAAAGAUGGAAAAAAAAAACGUGUGUGCGCGCAUGCUUACAGUGUAUAGAUGUAUAUAUACACACGGGUGCACACUUCACAGAGGCUGUGUGAGAGCCAGAAUGUGGAGCCUGAGGGGCUGUUGUGUCUCAGAUGCUUGUAUUGUUUAUGCUGUUGUACAAGCGCACUUUAGGCCUCACACUCGCCUUGUAUUAUUUACUAUGACUGCUGUGGACAGCGGGUUACUGUCCAGGAGAGCAGAACGGCCGAGCAAAGAGAAUAGGGAGGAUGGAAUAAAGAGGGCAGAGAUCGAAGGAGACAGAAAAGGGAUCAUUGGUUCUAUCUUUUUUUUCCUCCCUGUAUUUGUUCACAUACCACUUUCCUUCUCCUUUCUGGUUCCUCUUUGAUCCCCAUCUCCUCAAACCUCUGCCCCCAUGGGUCGCCAGCUGACAGACAGCGAGAGCAGGGUGCCGCCUCUCUUCUUAUCCACUUUGCUCUCACUUUUUUUUUUUUUUUUUUUUUGCCAUUUGGGAUAAGCACCGUUUUUGCAGCCAGGGAAUCAUUUGGGAUCCCCAGGUAAGUGAACCGAAGCCACACAGAUGUUAAUCUCCCUUUGGCACCCGUUAGACAAGCACCGCACUCCUCCACCUCCUUCUAGGUCUCCUCCACUCUUUUUCCAUCCUUCUUGCCCUAAGUCUCUGAAAUCUCAUUGAAGAUGGCCAAGCAGGAGUGGAGGUCUCUUGAUUAUGUUUUUUUUUUCCUCUUUUUUAUAGGAGAAGGGGGGCAAACCAGGGAUAGGAUACACAUUACUCUGGGGAUGCAGGCAGGCAGAAGGGUGGCUGACAGCCUGGAUAAUUCCUCACACUUCCAGACAAGUUCUCAGGCCCUAUCAGCUGGGGACAGGACCUUGAGCUCUGAUGAGAAAACUGGUCCAGGGAAAUUGAAUUAACCAUUGUGACUGGGUCUUCAUUGAUUGCUAUUAGAGUUGACCUGGAGCUAGGUGAAGGAGAGAUGAGAAAGAGUUAAGCCAGUCUUAGAGAGCAGCUCUGGUUAGCCUCAAUAGGGAGAGCUUAAAGCAGGACAGAUUCUUUUUUUUUUUAACUGUGCCUUUUCUAAUGACAACUAUAAGCACUUAAAGUAAAAAAAUAAAAAAAUAAAUAAAUAAAAUAAUG